GUUGAAACACCGGUUCACGUACGAUCACCGAAGUUAAGCAAUGUCGACCCUGUUCAGUACCUAGAUGAGUGACCGUUUGGGUAUACCAGGUGCUGUAA
rnacentral:rRNA from 1 species